GGGGGCGACCGGCUUCGACGGGGUUGGUGAAGCUGUGGCCGCGUGCCGAGGUUCCUGGAACCUCGUAAAAAAAUCUGGGAAUCUUCACAACUGCCAACGACAACUUGGCCCUGGCUGCGUAACCU
rnacentral:tmRNA from 1 species